rnacentral:rRNA from 1 species
GAUAGCUGGUUCUCCCCGAAAUAGCUUUAGGGCUAGCGUCGGAAAGAACCUUAGUGAAGGUAGAGCACUGAAUGUGUGAUGGCCCCAUCCCGGGGUACUGAAUACAAUCAAACUGCGAAUGUCAUUAAGGAUGUCCGGCAGUCAGACUGUGAGUGAUAAGGUCCAUGGUCAAGAGGGAAACAGCCCAGACCGCCAGUUAAGGUCCCAAAAUACAGGCUAAGUGGAAAAGGAUGUGGGGAUGCCCAGACAACUAGGAGGUUGGCUCAGAAGCAGCCAUCCUUUAAAGAGUGCGUAACAGCUCACUAGUCGAGUGACCCUGCGCCGAAAAUGUACCGGGGCUAAGCCUGAUACCGAAACUGCGGAUUGUAGGAAACUAUAGUGGUAGGGGAGCGUUGUAUACGAGUAGAAGCCGUACCGUGAGGAGCGGUGGAUUGUAUAGAAGUGAGAAUGCCGGUGUGAGUAGCGAGAUGUAGGUGAGAAUCCUACACACCGAAAGCCCAAGGAUUCCAGGGGAAGGUUCGUCCGCCCUGGGUAAGUCGGGACCUAACGCGAGGCCGAAAGGCGUAGUGGAUGGAAAGCAGGCGAAAGAUUCCUGCACCCGUAUAUGGAGCGAAGGAGUGACGGAGACGGAUAGUGUGACCCUCUUAAUGGAUUGAGGGCGAAGCGAAGCGGCUGGUUACCAGGCAAAUCCGGUAACCAUAAGGCUAGAGCGUGAGAGGUAAGCGAAAUCUUCGGAAAGUAGCGAAGCACAUGAUGACGGCUUCCAGGAAAAGCUUCUGGCAAUGCAUAUGCGGCCCGUACCAAAACCGACACAGGUGGGCAGGGAGAGAAUCCCGAGGUGAGCGAGAGAACUGUUGCCAAGGAACUCGGCAAAAUGACUCCGUAAGUUAGCGAGAAGGAGUGCUUAAGCAAUUAAGCCGCAGUGAAGAGGCCCAAGCGACUGUUUAACUAAAACACAGCUCUCUGCGAAGUCGCAAGACGAAGUAUAGGGGGUGACACCUGCCCGGUGCUGGAAGGUUAAGAGGAUCUGUUAAGAGCGAUCUGAAGCAGUGAUCCGAAGCCCCAGUGAACGGCGGCCGUAACUAUAACGGUCCUAAGGUAGCGAAAUUCCUUGUCAGGGAAGUUCUGACCCGCACGAAAGGUGUAACGAUUUGGGCGCUGUCUCGGCAGCAGACUCGGUGAAAUCUUAGUACCUGUGAAAAUGCAGGUUACCCGCAACUAGACGGAAAGACCCCAUGGAGCUUUACUGCAGCCUGAUAUUGAAUUCUGGUCAUACAUGUACAGGAUAGGUGGGAGACAAAGAGACGUGCACGCCAGUGUACGAGGAGUCGACGUUGGGAUACCACUCUUGUGUGACCGGGGUUCUAACCUGGUAUCGAGAACAGGUACGGGGAGAGUGUCAGGUGGGCAGUUUGACUGGGGCGGUCGCCUCCCAAAGAGUAACGGAGGCGCCCAAAGGUACGCUCAGAUUGGAUGGAAACCAAUCGACGAGUGCAAUUGCAGAAGCGUGCUUGACUGUGAGACUUACAAGUCGAACAGGGACGAAAGUCGGGAAUAGUGAUCCGGCGGUGCCGAAUGGAAGGGCCGUCGCUCAACGGAUAAAAGCUACCCU